rnacentral:rRNA from 1 species
CGCGGCCUAUCAGCUUGUUGGUGAGGUAAUGGCUCACCAAGGCAUUGACGGGUAGCUGGUCUGAGAGGACGAUCAGCCACACUGGGACUGAGACACGGCCCAGACUCCUGCGGGAGGCAGCAGUGGGGAAUCUUGCGCAAUGGGCGAAAGCCUGACGCAGCAACGCCGCGUGGGGGAUGAAGGCUCUCGGGUUGUAAACCCCUUUCAGCAGGGACGGAAUUGACGGUACCUGCAGAAGAAGCCCCGGCCAACUACGUGCCAGCAGCCGCGGUGACACGUAGGGGGCGAGCGUUGUCCGGAAUUAUUGGGCGUAAAGAGCUCGUAGGCGGUUUAGUAAGUCAGAUGUGAAAGGUUGGGGCUCAACCCUAAGACUGCAUCCGAUACUGCUAUGACUAGAGUCCGGUAGAGGAGUGUGGAAUUCCUGGUGUAGCGGUGAAAUGCGCAGAUAUCAGGAGGAACACCGACGGCGAAGGCAGCACUCUGGGCCGGUACUGACGCUCAGGAGCGAAAGCGUGGGUAGCAAACAGGAUUAGAUACCCUGGUAGUCCACGCCGUAAACGUUGGGCACUAGGUGUGGGGCCUUAUCAACGGGUUCCGUGCCGUAGCUAACGCAUUAAGUGCCCCGCCUGGGGAGUACGG